GUGUCAGCAGCCGCGGUAAUACGUAGGUGACGAGCGUUAUCCGGAAUUACUGGGCGUAAAGCGCACGCAAGCGGUCUGACAAGUCUGGCGUGAAAUUCUCUGGCUUAACCAGGGGGGGUCGCUGGAAACUGUUGGGCUUGAGGCGAUGAGAGGGGUGCAGAAUUCCCGGUGUAGUGGUGGAAUGCGUAGAGAUCGGGAGGAAUACCAGUGGCGAAAGCGGCACCCUGGCGUCGUACUGACGCACAUGUGCGAAAGCGUGGGGAGCGAACGGGAUUAGAUACCCCGGUAGUCC
rnacentral:rRNA from 1 species